rnacentral:SRP_RNA from 1 species
UUUGGGUCCCCUCGCGACGAUUAGAGUGUGAACCCCGUCAGGCCCGGAAGGGAGCAGCGGUAACAUUCGCUUCGUGCGCAGAGGUGUGGCUCCUAGAG